GUCAAGAUAAAUUUUCUUUUUUUCUUCUUAAUUUUUUCUGUCCUGUAUUUCACUGCAGGCAUAAUACAAAAAGAAGGGAAAUAAAGCCAAAUAUCAGUGUUAUUAAUUAUGUAUAGUUAAAUAUUAGUAAUACUUCUAUGGGCUAAUGAAUCUUGACUUCUCCAUCUUAUUCAAACCCUAAAUGUCAUAGGAAACAUACUUUAAAGUUUUUCAAAAUAGCUUUUUAAAGUUGGUUUAUACUGUGAAGAGAUUAUAUAUUUUCUGAAACUUAUUUUUUGUUAUAACUUGGAAAAAUUCUUCCACCAGGAAGAGAGUGAAUUAACUGUUGCCAUUCUAGUCUUACUUGAAAUAUAUAACAGUUUAGUAUUUUAAGAUUCCAUGUACUCUGUGGACAUAUAUGUAUCUAAAAUUAGAAGAAAUUUAGGAACUUUUAUUUUCUUUAAAACUUCCCUGCAGUUGAUUUUAUUUACAUUGUCAAUACAUACUAUUUUCUACUUAAACCUAAUUAUAGUUUGAAAUGUUUAUCUGGUCAAUGUUUAAUAUUAUUACAGUUCCUUGCAUUAAUUCAAAUAAAUUUUGUGUGAUAUGUCAGGAGUCUUAACAGCUAAAAUGUUUUUAAAAACUGAGGAGUGAUAAAAUUUGUUGUUUUAUCUGUCUACUAUUUUACUGCAAUAACAAAUACAACUGCUGAGUAGAGCCCUUCAUUCAAAAACUUACCUUUCCUCCCUUUAAACCCUUAAUUAGGCAUAGAGAACACAGGGUGAUUUAUGGCCUUGUGUUUAACAGGACUUACACUUAAUCCAUUACACAAAGAGGAAUACACAUAUUCCCUAACAGCACAACUCAUUAGUUUAUAUAAAAUGGAAAAAACCCACUUAGAAAAUGUAAAUAAAGCUUUACUUGAUACUGUCUUCUUAUGCAUAUGUAAUGUGAUCACAAUUUCAACAUUGUAGUCUAACGGCUUUUGCUUAUUUUGAAAGCUACGAAUUAGAUCUCUCUAGGUAAACCCUAAUUCAAUCCUACAUUUAGUGGAUAAGAAGGAAAAUUACAUGCUGCUAAAUUCAUCUUUGUGUGAAAAGAAUGUUCUGAGCUCGUGUGGAAGACUAGAAUUCUGAUUACCACUACUGUCUCAGCCACUAACAUUCAAUUCAGUCCUGGCUAUGUUGCUGAUAUUCUGCUUCCCUGAUCCCAGACUUACCAAAAGGAUAAUCUAGGUGACUGAUACCUCCAUAAGUGAAGCUCAGAGGAAUUACUAAAGAAGUAAUUUAUUUUUGUGACUUUUCAAGUAGCUUCUAUUUUAAGUUGUACAGUAACUUACUGUCCAUGCCACACAUAGCACUAAAAGCACAAAGGAAUAUAGAAAGUUAGUCUGCAACGUUUACAAGGAUGGAUUGAAGUGGUGGGGAGACAGGGCUCCUUUUGUAACCAAGGAAUUCUUAUUGCUUUCCUGUUGAGUUUUAUUGCAGGGGACAUGGCUGAUCAUCUCAGGCAACACACUUCCAGGAACGAUGAGAUGACAUGAGUGAUUAGUCAAAGAGCAGAAAUACCUGGAAGAUCUCCUGGAAGCCCUGUGUGAUCAAGGAAAUGCUCUCCAGUUGUUCACUGGCAUAGGCAAGAUAUCCCCAAGGAAAAGGAUCAAAGAUAGUUAUGACAUCUAACUGUCAAAAUAAUGAAUCAUGCCUGUUAACAAUACCUGGAUUGAGUUGCUGGUGUUCACUGUGAUAACUAUGUGCAUGCAGUUUUCAAAACAAGAUACAGAACAUUUUCUGCACCAUCUGAAUGGUGCCUUGUGCCAUUCCUCAUCUCCUAUGAAAGCAAACAGAUUCCUCACCACAAAUGAGUUUGACUUGUUCAAGGAAUGCUACUGUUUUCCUGUUAGAAGCUUGUCUAUUCAUUUUGUAAUGAAGUCUGAUGUGCUUAGCGAAGUCAAACUGUUAUGGUUUAUGUUCAGAUACCCCCCCCCCACAAGCCUCAUGCAAUCCUGAAGGUGGCCAAACUUAGCGUUUGUUGUCUAGAGCUUGGAUUGGUGGUAAGAGUGCCUCACCUGCCCAGCGGUGGAGCCACCAUAUAGUGUAAUGGCAAGAAGAAGGUGUGUCUUCUCUCUCCUUUUGUACAGUUAGCCCUUGCUGUUUGGUGAGCCAUGAACGACAGCCCUGCCAUGCCACCCUUUUGCUUGGAGCUUACUGAGUAGAAACUGAAACCUCCAACUUUAAGAAAUAAGCCGUCCCUUCCCUAACUUUGGACAUCAGGUGUUUUGUCUCAACAAUGAGAGAAAAGUAACUAAGACAAAAACUUAUAUAACUAUAAACAUAUAUAUAUAUAAAUAUAUAUAUAUAUAUAUAUAUAAAAUACGUUUGUCUAUAGUCUAAUAACUAAUUAAUUUUGUGUAUAAAAUGAGGAAUCCACAUUUUUUAUGUAAUUUACUGUUACAAUUAACUUGGCAUUGUGGCUAAAUGUCAGUUGACUCCAUACAUGUAGGCCUAUUUCUAGCCUUCCUAUUUUAUCUGUUUGGUUCUUUUUAUACUAAUAAAAAUCAUCUUUAUUAUUAAACCUUUAUAGCAGACUUGGAAUCCUGCGUAUAAAUUCUUGUUCUUUUUCAAGACUGUUAUGGCUUUUCUAGCUCCUUACAUCUUUGUAUAA